GCAGGAAGCAAGAAAAACCAGCUUCAUUCUUUCUGUCCGAGACUGGAGAGCUGAGAGGUGUGGAUUUACAUCUGCAGCGUGGAAGGAUGUGCCCCUCUUGGCUGGGGAGACCUUGGAGGGAGGUGGCUGCUGCGGGAGCUGAUCCAGUGCACGCCGCUGGGAUGGCAAGUGCAUGACUUGGAGAGAUUUACAUAGCUUUUUGGGAAAACCUCCUUGUGCUGAAAUGUCAUCCCAGUCAUGAUGUUGAUUUCAAUGGAGAAUUGCUUGUGAAAGUGCCUUGCACGCUGUGUCUGAGGGCCCGUGACCGUGCUGACCCCGGUGGGUUUGGCUGUGUUCCUGAACACGGUGCAGAGACGUGCAGCAGCCCCGUGGGUGCAGCCUUGGGGCAAGAGAUCGUGUCUUACUGACACAUGGCAGCAGUUUGGGCUGGGAGGUGUUGCUGUCAUGCUUGCAGGAAGGUCUGGGAGCUGAGCCUGGCCUCUCAGGCAUCAUCACCACUGUGCUCAGGGUUGAUGCACGGGCCAGCAUUGGCACGGGGGGUUUAGGGGUGGCUGCUGCAGGGCUGACCCUCCCAGUGUGGUUUGUGCUGAUGUGGCUGGUGUUGAGAUGAGGCUGGAGGAGGCUGUGUCCAUACCAUGGACCUGGGUAGUUUCUGUUGCUGGGAGUUGAGAGUCAGUAAAUGAGCAGUGGUUGUUUUUUCUGUUACUGGCAAAUGUCUUGAUGUGUAACUUGGGCUCAAAUUGAUGUGUGCUCAUUGAGGUUGGGCCAUUAGAAGUUUGGGGGGUUUUGUUCACACUCUGAGUAGAAGGGCAGCUUGUCAGAGGGCAGGACAGUGGUUGUGCAUUGGGCAGGACUUGUCUGUUGGGAUGUCUGGGAGCAGCAUUGUCAUUUGAAAGGCAGCCACCUUGGUUUGGGUGUGUCUGUCCCCCGGCUUGUGCUUCCUCUAGUGUCUCCCUAGGGAAUGCAUUUUAUUUCUCCGUGCUCCAUCCUGGUUGCACAAUAGUGAGCACGAUGUAGGCUGCUGGCUUUAUUGCCCACAGUCUGCUGAGGUUUGGAACUUGCCUGGGCUCACCUUUUGCCCAGGCAUCUCAUAUGGGCAGGGGAGCUCAGACCAGCAGCUCCUGGGGAGUGAGUCUGCAUCGGCACAUCGGUGUCAGCCGGUCCAGGCUCCUCAAAACUCACCUAGGGGUCGAGAGGUGAGUGCUGGGAUUUCAGGGACCAGCUCUUCUCUCUGCAUUUGUCCAGCAGAAGCAGGUCCAGCUGGCUCACUUUUGGGCGAGCUGGGAAGGCUUGCCGAUCUGUCAAUACUUCAAGAAAUGCCAGGGCUAGGAAUCAUGGAGAAAGGGUUUUGUGAAGUCUGGUAUUUAAACCUCCCACUCGAGUGAUGCUGAGGAGAGCUGGCAAUGUAGCAUUGGCUUAUCAGAAGCUGUGUGGGCAGGUCAGCUUAAAAAAAAUGUUGUGUGAGCAGCACCAGAGGUGAAGGAAAGAAGCUGGUGUCUUGUCAGGUGCAGAGUUUAAAUGGGGUCAGAAUUUCUUUUUAUUAAAAAGAUUGUUUUAUUUAAAUAAUAAAUGACAGUACGUUCACUGUUGCCAGGGGCUGCUGAAGGGCAACCAGGCAGGUCUGAGCGAAUUAGGGACUAAAGGCUUUGAAUUAUUUUCUGUCAUUAAUAACUCUGAACUGAGCACUGCAGAUUCAUGUAAAAGCCAUCUCUGCUUUCAUGCAUGUGAACAGUUUGGUUUGUGGAUAGAUCUGCUGCGAUCAGAGGCUCAUUCUAUCUUUAAAAAAAAAAAAAGUUGGCUUCUGAGCUUCACCUGUCAAUAAAAGUCCUGGAAAAUGAGUCCUUGCAGGCUUCUGCAAGGCCAUAUGCAACUUAUCUUGUCCAAUGCAAGUCUCUAAUUGGCGGUUUAAAGUCGUUUAAAAAAAAGAAUCUGUUAACGGUCAGUCUAUUUUUGGUUUAAAGAUGGACUUUAUAUGGUCAUAAAGUAAAAUUCCUAGCUUAAUUAUGGGAAUCAAAGUACAUUGGCUUAAUUGCACAAAGAACUGCACACAAGAGUGCAGAGAGGACACGCUUUACAAGUGAUUAUCUGCUGAUGAAAUACUAUAUGGAGCAACAAGUGAGGGCAUUCCAGGCUCCAGAAAGCACCCUGAGGCCAGAACUGCUGAGCUGCUGGAGGAGAGAUGGCACCAAAUCUUUGUCCAAUCGAAGAGAAUUGGACAUUUCUCUUGUCCAAUGUGGACCAACUCUAUUUUUGGAAAUAAAUAAGCAUGGUCAGGGUUCAUUCCCACCACAGCACUCACCGCCCUGCCUUGUGGAGAGUUGAAACUGGACAGGAUUGAAGGGGUGAUUUAUAAGCAAAGCCUUGGUUGAGGAGUUGAUUUGUGUUCUGGAGAUGCUUCCAGAAGCUGGAAAAGCAGCUGUGGGAGGUCUGAAUGGCACAGGAUUUGGUGAUGGGAAAUGCAAGCCCCCAAUGAUUAGGAGAUCCAUCAAACUAUCUCCCUGUUGAUUGGACACAGAGACCUUGAAAGGUGUCAGAGUGCUUGGGGCAAGCCUGCAUGCUCGAAGCUGAGAUACCUGGGAAGCCAAACUGGGUGUCCAGGAAGGAGACAGAAUUUAGGACGUGGCAGUGCCUCUUCCUAAAGUCUGCGUGUGUGCCUGGGAAAAGGCUGUGACAGGGAAGUGAACUGAAGGGCUGUGACUUCACAGCAUUUCCACUCCAGCCCAGGUGUCCCCAGCCUGGUGGCACAGGGCGUGGGCAGGGUUUGGGGAGGACAGAGGCUGGGGGGAGGCUGAGGCUGUUGGGGCUGGAGGUUGGGAGCAGAGUUGUGUGCACAGGAGGGACUGGGCUGGAAUAAGGAAUGGGCACAUCUGCACAACAGGGUGGAAACAGGAGACAAAAAUAGUUGUUGUAGACUGCUCAGUGGUGAAAAAAGACCUCGUCACAACUGCUCUGAUUGAAACAUGGUGGGGGUGAUGGAAAUCAAUAAGAUACUGCAUUACCUGCCAUUGUAGCAGGUAUGUUAGGUCAUAAAGGAGGAACACUACAUCUAAAAGGUUGCUGUAAAAUCUGAGGAAAUUGGAGUACUGACAAUCAAACAGCCACAUUUAUGUUGGAUAUAAAUUCUGUAUUUUAAUGACAUAGACGUAUUAGGAAGUUUUCUAUUCCAGACAAAAGGAAAGUUGAGGAUUUCAUGAGCCCUGGGAAAAAAACCAGGCUCAUGCAUCUUCAUAAACCUGUUAGAAAAAGUGAGUUCUAUUAUGACCAUGCUACCUGGCCAGAUUGUUUGGGAGAGAACUGGCUAACAUUUUGGUGUAGCAAAUUUAUUGAUUACUUAAAGGAUCAUUUCUUGUAACAGACUGAUCUAGAGUUAGCUUUUGUUUAGGACUAAAGCAUAAGAUCUGAUUCAAAAUACAAUUACAGCUGAGUUGUUAAGUAGCAGUGACCACAUGGGGGUCACUGAAUUGCAGGUUCAGCAUUCUCAGGGGUAGAAGGUGCUGGACUAAAAGUGAGUCUUUUGUUCCAAAAUAUUGCAUGGGAGAAGAUCAGAAAAAUGAAUUCUUAGACUUCCCAUAGAUACCUGGGAAGGGUACUGGCAUCCAGGUGAGGCAGAACUCUGUCAUGAAAGAAAGAACAACCCUAAAACUGUUGUUAAAAAUAGUUAUAAAGGAAGGGACUUCUGGAGUUCAGGAAGAUUCCACCCAAGGACAGAAGUCCAGCUCUUGAGGAGCAGACAGGAAGAGCCAUGUGGAAGGGCAGGUAACCAUGAUUGGGAAAUGAAGUAGUUUAGGAGGGGCUUUGCAGAGCUGGGGGCUUUGGGGAGCCAAAUCUGUCUGAGGGACAUCAGAGACGAGGCUGGGGAGAAAAUCUGGCUGUGCAGGACUGAAGGCAGAAUUCUGAAGGCAGAAUUCACUUCCUGCACUACUUCUUGCCACUGAAGUGACUCCUCCAUGUCAUUCUGGAGCACAGGGCACGUUUGAGAGACUGCUGUCCUUUUGGGUGGAAUAAGGAGCCUUCCUCUAAAACUCAAGUGAAGCAGAGAUGAUGGAGUAAAGUAGGAAAUUCAAGUGGAGGAGCAACAGCUGUAUCAAGGGGUUUUAAACAAGCUUGGGACUGAAAUACUUAAAGGGACUAACAAAAACAGGGCUGUCAAAAAACAGCUUAGUAUUCUCCAUGACUAGAUAAUGUCCUAAUGUCAGGUUAUUCUUUUUUUUUUUAAUUAAAGUAUUCAUUAUGGCACUGGGAAUUGCAGAUCAGCAAAAACCCUGAACUCCAGUUUGAGAAGGUGAAGGUGAAGUGCUGCAGUUCUUCAGUGUGUGAGAGUUAGAAAGCAACAUACUUUCUGCAGAGAAAGGGGGUUGGACCAGGUGAUCCCUUCCAACCCAAUCCAUUCUUUGAUUCUAUGAUCAGUCUGGUUUGCUGGGGCACCUACCAGAAUGUCUGAACCCAUUGGCAAACAACAGGAGAAAAAAUAGGCUUGUAAUGAGAAGAGAAAUACUGCAGAGCCCUUCUUUGGUUGCAGUUGCUAUUUGUCACUUGGGAAGCAAAAGGUAGACUAAAGUCUAGUUAGACAAGGUGAUUAAAGGCUUCCAAGACUGCAUCUUCAGCCUUUGAGCAAAUGAGUUUCAUUCAAUGGUUUCAUUAAACCCAAAGUUGCAAAGAAAGGUUGGUUUUCAUGAAACAUUUCUGGUGGAUACCACUAGAUCCAGGUUUGAGGGGAGAAACAAGCCCAGAAUACUGGGUGAUCUAGAGAAAUCUAGAUUUCUCCUGUAAAGCAACACCUCCAGUUCAAAUUCCUGCCUUGAGCUGGACUUGCAGGUCUGCCAGAUCCCAGACUGUGCCUCAGCAGCUGAUAUUGUGGCUAUGUUUUGUUUUCUUCUUACUAAGAAAAAACUCAGAGGUCUUUACUUUUAUAAUGGGCAGAAAGGGAAGGAGGAGGAACAGAGGUCUGGGCAGCAUCUUCCAGCUCUUGCCUAGGUCUGUCCUUGAGGGGGCAUUGUUGAUGUGUGCACAUGCAGACUUGUGUUACCUCUCUUCCCAAGAGACCCAGGAGAACCCACAGGUAACUGGUGUCAGCCAGAGCACCCUUUUGCUGCUCUGGCUUAGUUUUAGGCUUCUUAAAAGUCCAGGAGUUAUGGCAAAUACCCUGGCUUCCCCCACCUUCCCUGUCUCCAGUAGAUGAUGGUACCAAAGAGUGAGUGUUUUGAUAAGUCCUUGGAGUUUGCAAUAGAAGCAGGAUAACUGCAGGCACCAGGAGGUUUCAGUCAGAGUUUGUAUUUAAAGACAAGGAGGAGAGUGGUUGGGCUGUAUUGGAGAAGUGACCCCAGCCUGGCUGUGGCUGGAAAAUUGAGAAGAGCAUAAGGUUUGGUGCAGUGAGCAUGGGGCUGACCUUGGGACGUGUGAGGCAACAGGCAACAGGGGGGGAAAAAAGAGUCAUUUUUAAUGCUCCGUCAGUAUGCCAGGCUGUAAGUGAAUUGUUCAUCCAGGAGGAAGAACUGUGAUUGUGGUAGCAGAGCAAAUGAAGGGAAGGCGUGUAGCCUGCCACAGGAGUCCUGCACAUUCCAGGUGUAGGUGCAGGUCUGGGAGGAUGCUGAGCAGGAGCUCCUCUGUACCACAGCUCGUCAGACCCCCACAGUGUCCCUGUGCUGCUCUCCCUGGUAAUCAGGUGGUUGUCACUGGCACAACCUUUGUCCCUACCCCUAGAAAUCCAUUAGAUUGCUCACUUCUAGUUAAAUUAUACCAGCUGACUUUGAAGUUACUCAAUAUAAAACCGUCGUGGUAUGCUUGCAUGAUAGUGUUUUGAUGUAAGACAACAAUUUCUUGUGCUCUCUCUUUAGGGAUUUGGGCUUUGAGUUUCACUGGGGUGUGUUGUACGUACCCAACUGCACAGGAUCAGGCCCAUCUCUGUUUUCAUAUUUCACAUCUGCGAUUAGAGAUGUUCUAGGAAACAAAUUAGGAGAUGGAGUUGUCUGUCCCAGGCUCGGGUGAUCAUAGCGACUUGUGCUAAAGGCUCUGUCCUCGUAGAGACCUGCACGGCUGCUUUGUGUAACUGCUGUCAGAGCUCUGGUUCUGGUCCUAGUGUUUUUUAAUAAAUGUACUGAGUAUACUCGCCUUUAAAUCCUGUUAGGUACUGAUAAUUAUCGCUGGCAUUCUGUACAUUAGCUCUGUACUAGCAUUCACAUUGGACUAGGCUUAAUAGCGUCAGUGUCUAAGAUGACUUGAAAAAGGAAAAUUAGUUUAUACCCUUUUCGUGUGGUUCUACUCCAUGUAGUGGGUGGUUUGUAGAAGUACCAGAAGUGCUACAAUUGUCUUCCCCCUUUUACUUGCUGAUUCUCUGCAGCAGAACAUACAGAUCUAAGUCUGUUUUUCCAUCCUUUGGAGACACUGAGAUAUUAUCAAGGUGAGGUCCAUGGAGAUACCCAGAAACCUGGGCCCUCACACAGACAUAAGGCAUCUUUUCCAUUUGGUUGUUUGUUUUUUUUCUUCUACUGUCCAUUCUCUAAGUUUUUGUUUGGUUUCUUUAAAUGUAAAAAAGUUAUUCCCUCACCUGUCAGUGCAACAUCCUCUAAGAUAUUUGUGAUCUUCCAAGAAAGGUAGACAGGAUUGGAAUAACUAAUGCCAAAAAUUGCCCAUGGCAAGGGAGGGAAAUCCUUGUUUUCAAGGCAAACCCCAUCCAGACUUUUUUUAGCACACCACAAGGGUAUAGAUCCCAACUUUUUCUUUUCCAGGUGAUCUUUAAGGCCAAGUAGCAGAGGGCAGCGUUUUGCCCUCCGGUGGGGUUCCGGUGCCGUGUGGCACCCGCGCUGUCCCGCAGGUCUGAGCCCCCGGCACCCCGGCAUUUAGGGAACUCUGUGGGGUUGGCUUUCACCCUGUUCUCAAUUUGGAUCCCCAGGGCAGAAAAAUUAGGACUUUCUCAGUUAAAGAAAAAAGCAAAAGUGAAGCAAAAUCUCUGUAGAGUUGUGUUUCCCCACAGCAGUGACGGCCCCUCAGCACCCACUUCUGUUCAGCCAGGACGCCCGGGUCAGUCCUGCUGGGUUUUUAGCCAUCUUGACCUCAUGUUUGCAAAUAUUAUUGGUAAUAUAAUGCUCUAUGUACAAAUGUCUGUGUGGCUCAUGUGUAUGUUUCUGUGGUUCAAGUCAGCCACAGCCUUCUGGAAUUUCAUUGUACUUUGGUUAAAUGUUGGACUUUUAACUCUUCUACUGUAUGGCUUCUUGAUUUCUCUUGUCCAAUGUGGACCAACUCUAUUUUUGGAAAUAAAUGAGCAUGUAAAUAAAAUGAAUGGGUUUAUGCCACUUACAAGAAAAUGCUUUAUUUAAAAUAUACACUCAGUCUUGUAUAUUUUAUGGUAUCUCAGGGAGCAGCUGAGGCUCAGGCCCUGGCAGCCUUGUGCUGAGAUACCAUAUUAUGUACAAAUUCACUUCCAAGUGCUUUUGGAAGCAGACUUCCCAUCUCCUGAGCCAAACCCCCGUAGGACCAGCCUUGCAGAGGAGGGAGGGGGGAAUCCAGAAACACGUAGUUUAAGGGGAGUAAAGGAAACAAACACGACUUUCCUCUCAACACAAGGCUUCUGGUUUGAGGUGUCCAGGUGCCAGAGACACUGCUGGGUGCAGGGAUGCCAUGGGUCGGUUCUCAGCUCCCACCUGGGAGCACAAUGACAUCUCUUUUUUUUAUUUUUUUUUUAAUUCUCCAUAUAAACCAAUAUUUACCAGUAAUCCUGUGUUUCUGUUUUUGUUUUUUGGCAGACUUUUACCAGUAAAUAUCGGUUUAUUCCUGAAACCAGAAGCCCUAAACAUACCUUUGUUUAUAAGGUCAGUUGGCAUUUUGUCUCUCUCAUUCCCCACUCCCCCCCAGUACAACCCAGCAGGUGGUUGAAAGGUACCAAGUUCUCUUUCUAGUUUUCCUGCUCUGCAUCUCUGGGAACUGGAGCCCACAGGACCUAGAGCCUUCUAUUGGUAAUGUAGAUCCGAGUUUACAAAUUGUUCUUUUACCAUUUUAAAUCCUGCUUUUAAGGACAGAGGUCUUCCCACCUGCCCACCAUGGGAACUGGUAGAAACCCCUAAAUUGCUCCUCCUCUCCAAAGCCUGCGGGUAGGUCUCUCACUAGCAUCUUCAGGCUUGGGACUGAGAAAAUAAUUUAUCCCAAAAUAUACACUAAAAACUGCCAUUUCUGGUUUACUGUGAGCAGGACCGGGGGAGGGAAGGGUGGGAAAGGAGUUUGAAACUUACUUUUCUCCCCCUUUUUUCCUAGAAAGCAAAUGUGACAUGGGGAGGAGGGAGAGAAUGUGAACAUGGCCCUUCCUAAACUCGUUGUAAACUCCUCCUCCGAGGCUGGGAAAAAGGGCAAGUGAAAGAUCUGAUCCUUAAAAGGACAUCACUGGGUGUCUGAGACCCCAAAAGCAGCUGGCAAUUUUUAAGGACUCAAAUUGCUUUUGGUUUAUCCCAAGACAAAUUGACAUGGGAAUGCUGAAGCCUCCUUUUUCCCCACAAGUAUUUGCCACCCAAACACUGCACGUUUUGGUAAUACCCCAGAAACAGAGAACCUGAUGAGGGAUAGAAAACGAGUUUACUGCACAGUCCUGACCAAAUUUUUUCUCCCAAGCAAACAAAAUGCAAAAAAAAUCCCCAAACUAAAGCAAAGCCCUGACCCUCCCCCAAAAAACCUCCUAAAAAAGCAAGUCCAAGAGGAUCUCAAAUGCCCAGUCUGGUUUUGUCCUACAUGGCUGACAGGGGUGUUUUGGCAUAGCUGCAGCCCAACCAUGUCCCUUUAAGGAGCACCGUGGCUCGUUUCCUCCUCACGACCCCGAGCUGAGGGUUUUGCUGUUCCUGAUCAGAGCUCCUGCACCUUAGUUGGAGUCCAGAAUGAGGGGAGCCCUUCCAGCUGUGCACUUUGAGCUGAAAACUACCUUUCCUCCCCUUUUGCAGCCUGGGUGGUUCUGAUUGCUGGCAGUUCUGUAAUACAACCUUAAUCUGAGCAGUUGAGGCUGGUCCUACCUUAUCUUCAGACGUCUUGCGGAGGACUCCUGUUGCCAGUUUGGUACUCAAAAGCUACACCCCACCACCAGAAGUCACUUUUUGUUUUUUCCAAAGGCAGUGAUAGCUCACCCUCUCUAGCUCUAAUGGAAAACCUGAUAAUUGCAAUGCAACUUUCUAAUAAAUUGUUCAUAUAUUCAUAAUUCCGUUGCAAUCCCAAAUUGGAGAAGAGAUCUGUUAAAGUGCACUGGUGUACCAAGCCUCAGAACCACUGCUUUCUCCAGCUCAUAGGAUGCUUUUCCAGACUGUGGAUACGUGUAUGUGUACUGCUGUGUUGAUAAGUAAAUGCCAACGAUGGAGUUCGUUGCUUUUAUACAUCCCAAAGAGAAGUUCUCCACCGUUCCCUGUCUGUUUUCUGACCGAAAAGGCGUGUGUUUGUGAACAGUGUUCACGCCAGCUCUGCCAUCCCACCCUCACAUCAGCUCACACCAAUGCCAGGAUGGGAGGAGUUGCCUGCGUACCUUCCCCAAACACCCCGGGCCGCAGUGGCAUCGUCAGGGAGCAGUUCAAACCUGUGUCCUUUGGGCUUUGUGUAAAGCAAAUGCAGAACAAGAAAAAUCGAGAUGUUAAAUCCAUUAGAAAACCAAUUCCUUAUUGUACAGUAGUAUGGAGAUCUCUAGUCAACCUGCCAUUAAUAAUAGAUUCUUAUUUUUUGAAUGAUCUAUUUAAAAGAACAGCAAGCAUUGUAUUUGCUAGUAAAUCUGAAGUGUUUACAUGGAAUUACUAAAUAAAUUAUUUGAUCUAA